AUUGAACGCUGGCGGCAUGCUUUACACAUGCAAGUCGAACGGUAACAGGCCGCAAGGUGCUGACGAGUGGCGAACGGGUUAGUAAUGCAUCGGAACGUGCCCAGUCGUGGGGGAUAACUACUCGAAAGAGUAGCUAAUACCGCAUACGAUCUAUGGAUGAAAGCGGGGGACCGUAAGGCCUCGCGCGAUUGGAGCGGCCGAUGUCAGAUUAGGUAGUUGGUGGGGUAAAGGCUCACCAAGCCAACGAUCUGUAGCUGGUCUGAGAGGACGACCAGCCACACUGGGACUGAGACACGGCCCAGACUCCUACGGGAGGCAGCAGUGGGGAAUUUUGGACAAUGGGCGCAAGCCUGAUCCAGCAAUGCCGCGUGCAGGAAGAAGGCCUUCGGGUUGUAAACUGCUUUUGUACGGAACGAAACGGCUCUGGUUAAUACCCGGGGCUAAUGACGGUACCGUAAGAAUAAGCACCGGCUAACUACGUG
rnacentral:rRNA from 1 species